UUGGAGGGCAAGUCUGGUGCCAGCAGCCGCGGUAAUUCCAGCUCCAAUAGCGUAUAUUAAAGUUGUUGCAGUUAAAAAGCUCGUAGUUGAAUUUCGGGAUCAGAGUGUCGGUCGUGCCUCGGUACGCACUGGUAUUAUUGGUUCCUACCUUCUGAAGAACCGCGAUGUCAUUAAUUUGGUGUCGUGGGGAAUCAGGACUGUUACUUUGAAAAAAUUAGAGUGUUUAAAGCAGGCUUACGCUUGAAUACAUUAGCAUGGAAUAAUGAAAUAGGACGUUUGAUUCUAUUUUGUUGGUUUCUAGGAUUGACGUAAUGAUUAAUAGGGAUAGUUGGGGGCAUUAGUAUUCAAUUGUCAGAGGUGAAAUUCUUGGAUUUAUUGAAGACUAACUACUGCGAAAGCAUUUGCCAAGGAUGUUUUCAUUAAUCAAGAACGAAAGUUAGGGGAUCGAAGACGAUCAGAUACCGUCGUAGUCUUAACCAUAAACUAUGCCGACUAGGGAUCGGAUGAUGUUAAUUUUUUAACGACUCAUUCGGCGCCUUACGGGAAAC
rnacentral:rRNA from 1 species